UAACUAACUAGUGAACAUUAUAUUGUAUUACAUAACCAUUAGUUAAAAACAGAAUCCAUGGUCUAGUAGGAAAGGUCUAUGAUGGAAACCUACAGCCUGAAAAGCAUCUUAGAUAUUAAUCUCAGCACAGGUCAACAGAUAGAAGAUAUUGUAUAAUCAGAUUUAAUUUAUUAUGGAAGGAGCAGCAAUGAUGAAACAAGAGCCUCAAGCAAAUGAUGUUCAGACAAGGUAUUCAGAAAUAGCUGUUAUUAAUCAUCUUGAAGACCUCCUGAAAAAGAAAAUUGAUGAUCUGGGUGUAAAAAUUAUGUACCAGGCUGAAUUAUUGGGACGCAAUAAAAUUAAAUUGAAUAGUGACAUUGUGUUUAAGAAGCAAUUAAAAUCCCGAAAAAGGGAUUUAAUGUCUGAAGAAUUAAACAGUUAACAUUGGAAAAUGGACAAA